rnacentral:lncRNA from 1 species
AAAAUGAUAUUUGAAGCAUGAUCAUGAGGCUCGUUUCAGAGCCUGGGUAUAUGAGGCGGGUGCUUCCAAAUCCUGCAGAUGUGUUUUUGGGGAGAAGCAAAAUCGGUGAGGGGUGAAGGACGCUUGCGUGAAGCCCCGGAACCGGCCAACAUCUGGCAGGGGAGCCCCGUGUUUCCCCCUCAUGUAGGCCCGAUAGUCACGUGCCCUGCGAAGGCGGACUGUGACAUUUAUGAACGUGCCUCGCCAAAGCAUACAUUGUAUGAAAAUUCUGUUUGACUGAAAAUACUGCUUUGUUUUCCAAGCAUACAUAUUUUGCCAUGAUAAAUUGUGAGAUAAUACGCUUGUCAGCUUCUCAAACCCUGCAUAAACAUGGUUACCAUUAUGUUCGAUCCGGUAAGAUUAUGUAUGAUUACUUACUGAGCCGUGUAGCUCAUAUCCGUUCAUUUACUUUUCUUUCAGAUCUUCACCACUGAUAGCUGCCAGAGACACGUUAAUUUGGUAUCAGGGCUUCUGGGGUAAAGCAAGUAUACUUUUGUGUACAUAAACUAUGUAGAAGCUCUGUAUUUGGGUACUGACCAGCAUGUUGUACUAAGAAUGCUUUCAUAUGAAAAGAUUCGGUUGGUUUGACUACCCUAUUACCCAGGUAUGAGGCUGCGUGCUAUUGCGGGUAGUAGUCGGCAAUAGCACGGCCGUGUCACGGAUCCGGAUCCGGGGCGUGACAUUUCUUGUGGUAUCAGAGCAAUAGGUUAACCAUGAGUAAAAAUUUUAAGCUUUUAAAUAAGGAAAUGGGUAGUUAAGUCUCAUUUAGUGAGAUUCCG